CGCUGCGCUUCCGUUUUCUUGGCUUCCCAUUGUUGUUCAUGGCCGUUUCUGAACUGCCCACCUCCUCUUCCCUACUUCACGAGGCUACUUAUGCCCUUCUCUCUCUACUACAUCUUUCCUCUCCUUGCCUCCUGAGCAGCCAUGCGGGGAUAGGAUGGUGAGUGCUAACAGCGGCGACGUGGGACGAGGAAUAGGGCACGACGUCAACGGCUUCAGGACACAAAGGAGGACAACGAGAACACAACACCACCGGAGCCACGAUACGAGUGCGAUACUGGGCCUCCACUCGAACUGUGAUAAAAGAUAAAGGGUGACGACUGACACACAUUCAGUUCCUAAGAUCGAUUUUUUGGUCACAUGUGUGUUCAACCGGUCAUCCAUGAUGCAAAGCAAAGUUUCAUCGCAGCAGCAACAAGCAGGUUGGAGUUUGUCCAUGAUGUGCUAUCAGCAAAUAUUCACGAAGUCACCAAGGUCCUUAGCUAGCAUACCACAUCGGUUGUCAUUGGCUGAUUAUGUACAAAAAGUAACACCACUACCUAUACUUUGAACCAAUGAAAUUUUAUCGUAUAUUUUUC